UGUAAGCUGGUGUGUGUAAGGGCUGUGUGUGUGUAAGGGCAGUGUAGGUAUUUGUAUGUUUGUAAGCUGGUGUGUGUGUAUAUGUGUGUAAAGGCAGUCGUGUGUAAGAGCAGUGUAUGCUUAUAUGCGUGUUAGUGGGCAGUUGUGUGUAAGGGCAGUGUAUGCGUAUAUGCGUGUUAAUCGACAGGUGUGUGUAAAGGCAACGUGUAUGUGUAUAUGUGUGUUUAUGGACAGGUGUGUGUAAGGGCAGUGUAAAUA